rfam:Schistosoma rodhaini strain Burundi genome assembly, scaffold: SROB_scaffold0004276
AUCCAGCUGACGAAUUCCAAAUUGGACGAAACGCUCGUCCUGGUU